CGCGGGGUGGAGCAGUCUGGUAGCUCGUCGGGCUCAUAACCCGGAGGUCGCAGGUUCAAAUCCUGUCCCCGCAA
rnacentral:tRNA from 1 species